rnacentral:rRNA from 1 species
CUUUUCUUGUUUAUGAUAAGAAGUAUAACCUGCCCAAUGAAUAAAUUUAAAUGGCCGCGGUAUUUUGACCGUGCAAAGGUAGCAUAAUCAUUAGUCUUUUAAUUGGAGGCUGGAAUGAAUGGUUGGACGAGACAAAUUCUUUCUUUUAAUUAAUUUAUUUGAAUUUAAUUUUUGAGUUAAAAAGCUUAAAUUUUUUUUUGGGACGAGAAGACCCUAUAGAGUUUAUUAUAUAAAUAAUUUAUUAGGUUUAGUUUGUUAUUAUUUUUAUUAAAAUAUUUAUUUUGUUGGGGUGAUAGGAAAAUAAAAUAAACUUUUUUUGUUGAUGUAUAUAGAUUAAUAUAUUUUUGAUCCAUUAUUAAUGAUUAUAAGACUAAAUUACC